CGGAGGGUGCGAGCGUUGUCCGGAAUCACUGGGCGUAAAGGGCGCGUAGGUGGUAACCUAAGCGUGUGGUGAAAGCCCGGGGCUCAACCUCGGGUCGGCCAUGCGAACUGGGUCACUGGAGCACUGUAGAGGCAGGUGGAAUUCCGGGUGUAGCGGUGGAAUGCGUAGAGAUCCGGAAGAACACCGGUGGCGAAGGCGGCCUGCUGGGCAGUUGCUGACACUGAGGCGCGACAGCGUGGGGAGCAAACAGGAUUAGAUACCCUGGUAGUCCACGCCGUAAACGAUGGGCACUAGGUGCUUCGGGGAGCGACCCUCGGAGUGCCGGCGCUAACGCAUUAAGUGCCCCGCCUGGGGAGUACGGCCGCAAGGCUG
rnacentral:rRNA from 1 species